rnacentral:lncRNA from 1 species
GUUAUUUUGAGGGGGGCCUGCGGCCGUUUUUGGGCUUAUUUUGGGGAGGAUUCUCUUGUUUUGGGGAGGCUCCGCUGCUGUGUUCAGUCCGGGAAGGGAGCACAAAAUUUUGGGGAGGAUUCCCUUGUUUUGGGGAGGUUCUGCUGCCAUGUUCAGUCCUCGUUUUGAGCUGAAAUUCCCUUAUUUUGGGGAGGCUCCGCUGCAAUUUUGGGUCCUCUCGUUUUGGGGAGGAUUCCCUCAUUUUAGAGAGGCUCUGCUGCUGUUUUCAAGAGGCAAGGGGAGCUCAAAAUUUUGGGGAGAAUUCCUUUAUUCUGGGGCAGCCCCGCUGCUGUUUUCGCUCCUCUCAUUUUGGGGCAAAUUCCCUCGCUCCGGGGGUGCGGGGGGGGGCGGCAUCUGCAGCCGCAUCCAGUCCAGGAAGAGCUGGAGAUUUUGGGGAGGAUUCUCUUGUUUUGGGGAAGGCUCUGCUGCAAUUUUCAGUCCUCUUGUUUUGGGGAGAAUUUCCGUAUUCUGUGCUGUUUCCAGGGGAUAUGGGGAGCUUGAAAUUUUGGGGAGGAUUCCCUCAUUCUGGAGAGGCUCUGCUGCCGUUUUCAGUCCAGGAAGAGAGCUUGAAAAUUUGGGGAGGAUUCUCUUACUUUGAAGAAGGUCUCCUGCCAUUUUCACUUUAAUUUUGGGGAGAAUUCCUUUUAUUCUAGGACGGCCCAGCUGCUGCUUUCACUCCUACUUUGGGGCAGAUUCCCUUGUUCCGGGGCCUCUCUGCUGCCGUUUUCACUCCCGUUUUGGGGCAGAUUCCCUUGUUCUGGGUUCUUUCCGCCGCUAUUUUCCCUCCUCUCAUUUUGGGGCAAAUCCCCUCGUUCCGGGGGGGCCGGGAGGGGCACCUCGAAGGCGUAGGCGAUGAUAUCGGAGCAGCGCAGCAGCGCGGCCACCUGCAGCCCCAGGGGGGUGCACAGGGCGUCCACCUGGAAGGCGAGGGGGGGGGCGUCGGCGGCCGCCACCACGGCCCCCACCCGCCCCCCCUCGUGGAGGGUGAAGCUGACCGGGAGCCCCCGCAUGGCCCCCAGGCUCCGCAGGUAACGGAGCCUCAGGGCCGC